ensembl:lncRNA
UGUCACACUUGUACAUUUUUAUACAGUCUAUGGUGUAGACGUUGCAAAUCCGUGAAUGAAUGUUCCGAAGUGAGAUAAACUUCAACAAAUUUCCCCUGCUCAGGGAGUAGGGAGCAAUGAACACUGUGUAGAGACCAUGUCAAUCGGAACACAGUUCAUGCUCGGAGCUCACUUCUAAUGAGCUAAUUAUCUGAAUCAGGUGUGUUAACAAAGAGAGACCUACAAAAUGUGCAGAGCAGGGAGUCAUGAGGACUGGAAUUGAGAACUGCUGUCCCAAUUCUACUUCAUCAGAGGAGACCUGAUUCAAACCUGAAAGAAACAGUGUCUCUACUCAAUAAUAAACAAGAGGUCAUGGUGAUGGGAAACCACAGCAAUUCAGUUCAUGCCCCUUUUCCAGGAUUUGUACGUAGGACCUCAGGUUACCAUCCCUGGGGCCUGAAGAAGUGUUCACAUUGACAUCAAUCUGCAGUGACAAAGCGACCAGAACUCAUUCAUUUUCAAUGAGACCAGAUGAUUUCCAGCAGUGCAGGCGUCAGUGACAGGACUUGACUGUGUCCAACAACACAACAAAGUAGAUAGAAGAUUAACUUUAUGUGCAGUUACUCAAUGCAAUGAAUACUAACAGGAAUGUAGACAGUGGCGUUCCAGUGAUCCAUCUCUUGUGAGACACCAGUCAAGUGUCAGCAAGAUGGAGAAGAUAAUGUUGCUGUGAGUGAUUUUACCGUCCAUGAUUUAUUUCUUACCACAUCAACAAUAUAAUAACACCAUGGAAAACCGAGUCUGAGAUUGUUGGCAUUCUAAAAAAAGUUUGAUUCAUGCAAUCUUGUUCAUGAUAUGAUGUACUAUGCAGCACUGCAAUUUUUGUGGAGCUUUUCUACAAAUGCUUUCUUCUGCAAAAUGUAAAUUUUUUUUUUUUGAGGCAACAAAACUGAUUCACUGUCAAAAUGGAAUGAAAUGUUCUUUUUUUUCUUCUGUUAAUACAAUUCAUUUGAAAUCAGAUUUGGGUGGUUAUGCAACCUACCAAUAAUGUCAGAGCAUCCAGCACAGUAACCUUGUGAAAUUGCUGUCAGUGUGAACGAGACAUCAUGUAUAAAUGAUAUAGAAGAUGUGACUGAUUCACUGAAUUGGACUCACAACCAAUAAUGUCCUUGUUUUUCAUGGUCUGAGCAGCACAGAAGGUGGAUCAGCCUACAAAACUGGGCAGCUAAAUCGAUCAACAGGCCCACACAGAAUCUGUGCCGACUGCACUCAGCGGAGAGCUCAGCAGAUUUAUGAAAAACAACCGACACUAAGUUCUACAUAUUAUCCACCAUUGCAUGUUCACCCCACAGAUUUUGCACAAAAAUAUCACUUCUGUGAAAUGUGGAGAUGAAGUCCAUAGAUUCAGUCUGGGCCUGCUGAUCAUUCUUUUAUGUGCAACAGCAUCAUGACCUCAGCACAGGAGAUAAUGUCCCUCUCCAACUUCACUCCAUCUUAGUGAGCAAUUACUGUUAACUUGUUAGCAAAAUCACUUUUAGAAAUAGAAGUUAGCUACAGUUUACCCUAUGGGCAUAUAGAUAAUGUGGCAAUUUUCAUAAUGUAUUAUGUAAGUCUAACAAUUUUGCAGAGGAUUGUUACUGUAGAUUUGGGUUCUAUUCUGUGUGGUAGAAGAUUUUUACUACAAUAUGUCUCACUUUAAAAUUUACAGAGAAAUCAUGUUUUAAUGGAAACAUAUCCAAAUGAUAAAUUCUAAAGUCAUGAUGUGUGAUAUGUCAUUACAUGGUUUGCAGAUCUUGUCCAAAUGUGUAGAUGUAGAAAGAAAGAAAGAAAGAACUAUAAAACUGUUUCCGUCAUGGAAGAAAAAAACUGUCUCACAAUUCAAACUUUUUUUCUUGCAAUUCUAAAAAAAAGUCAGAUUUGUGAGUUAUAAAUUCAGAACUAUAAUUAAAAUAGGUAUACAUUCGAGAUUGCAAGAUAUAAAACUAGAAAUUCUGAGA